rnacentral:rRNA from 1 species
GGAAUAUUCCACAAUGGGGGAAACCCUGAUGGAGCGACGCCGCGUGAGUGAAGAAGGGCUUCGGCUCGUAAAGCUCUUUUCUGAAGGACGAAUGGCCAUUUGGAAUGGCAGAGACGGUACUUUGGGAAUAAGCCACGGCUAACUACGUGCCAGCAGCCGCGGUAAUACGUAGGUGGCAAGCGUUGUCCGGAAUUAUUGGGCGUAAAGGGAGCGCAGGCGGGUUUGCAAGUCCAAAUUAAAAGUGCAGGAGUAAUGCCUGUGAUGGUUUGGAAACUGCAAGUCUUGAGAGCAGGAGAGGCAAGCGGAAGUCCCGGUGUAGCGGUGAAAUGCGUAGAUAUCGGGAGGAACACCAGUGGCGAAGGCGGCUUGCUGGACUGUGUCUGACGCUGAGGCUCGAAAGCCAGGGUAGCGAACG